GUAAGGGGAGCGUAGUCUCUUCUUAAAAAAAACACAGCACCAAGAUUCCAUCCAAAACCCCAGGCAUUUUUUUAUUUCACAGGGAAGAAAUCUAGCACACAUAAUUAAAGGAGGCAGCGGCCAGAGGGGAAUGUCUGCAAAAAGUUCACAUGUGGAUAACCCAGUUUUCCUUGGGCGUGUCAAGUCCAGAAAAGCGAAAAAGCUUGUCCAUUCCAUCUGACUCGUUAUACUGGGCAAUGCAAUCAAUGGUUUCUCCAGCCUUCCCAAGAGUGCAGUGGCGCGGUACUCCAAACCAUCACGCAGUUUCAAGUAGAGCAAGACGCAACCACAUGCAACAGAGUUGCAAAUUAAUAAAGUCUGCCAACAGGUCUGGAUUAUGCUAGGUACACUCACGUAAAUUAAAUGGACUCAUUUGCUUUAAAAACAAUGAUGUGCAGAAUGUAUUUGGUUGGAUCAGUAUCAUGUAAAAUUUGAAAAUAACAAAAUAAAAUUCCUCAGUGUGAAAAUAA